UACGUAGGGUGCGAGCGUUGUCCGGAUUUAUUGGGCGUAAAGAGCUUGUAGGCGGUUUGUCGCGUCUGCUGUGAAAUUUCGGGGCUCAACCCCGAACUUGCAGUGGGUACGGGCAGACUAGAGUGUGGUAGGGGAGACUGGAAUUCCUGGUGUAGCGGUGAAAUGCGCAGAUAUCAGGAGGAACACCAGUGGCGAAGGCGGUGCUCUGGGCCGGAACUGACGCUGAGGAGCGAAAGCGUGGGGAGCAAACAGG
rnacentral:rRNA from 1 species